rnacentral:rRNA from 1 species
GCAUAACACAUGCAAGUCGAGCGAGGGCUCAUUUCCCGCAAGGGAGAUGGGUUCCUAGCGGCGAACGGGUGAGUAACACGUGGGCAACCUUUCCUAUCGCGGGGGAUAACAGCGGGAAACCGCUGCUAAUACCGCAUGUCGUCACCGGUCGCAUGGCCGGUGAAGAAAGCAGCAAUGCACGAUGGGGUGGGCCCGCGGCCUAUCAGCUAGUCGGUGGGGUAACGGCCUACCGAGGCGAUGACGGGUAGCUGGUCUGAGAGGACGACCAGCCACACGGGGACUGAGACACGGCCCCGACUCCUACGGGAGGCAGCAGUGAGGAAUCUUCCGCAAUGGGCGAAAGCCUGACGGAGCGACACCGCGUGUGGGAUGAAGUCCUUCGGGAUGUAAACCACUGUUGGAGGGGAAGACAACUGACGGUACCCUCCGAGAAAGCCCCGGCUAACUACGUGCCAGCAGCCGCGGUAAUACGUAGGGGGCAAGCGUUAUCCAGAUUUACUGGGCGUAAAGCGCGUGUANGCGGCUGGUU